rnacentral:rRNA from 1 species
GCCAGACUCCUACGGGAGGCAGCAGUGGGGAAUAUUGCACAAUGGGGGAAACCCUGAUGCAGCAACGCCGCGUGAGUGAGGAAGUAUUUCGGUAUGUAAAGCUCUCUCAGCAGGGAAUAGAAAAGAAGGUACCUGAAAAAGAAGCCCCGGCUAACUACGUGCCAGCAGCCGCGGUAAUACGUGGGGGGCAAGCGUUAUCCGGAUUUACUGGGUGUAAAGGGGGCGCAGACGGCAGCGCAAGCCAGGAGUGAAAGCCCGGGGCCCAACCCCGGGACUGCUCUUGGAACUGCGCGGCUGGAGUGCAGGAGGGGCAGGCGGAAUUCCUGGUGUAGCGGUGAAAUGCGUAGAUAUUAGGAGGAACCCCAGUGGCGAAGGCGGCCUACUGGACGGUGACUGACGCUGAGGCUCGAAAGCGUGGGGAGCAAACAGGAUUAGAUACCCGCGUAU